rnacentral:tRNA from 1 species
GGGAAGGUGGCUCAGUGGUAGAGCUCUUGCCUUGCAUGCAUGAGGCCCUG